GAGGUUCUCCGCAGAGCAGACAAAGCCGCAGCCGCGAUGCGGGGAGAACUCGCCUCUGCGCGCUGUGGGGGCCGGGAUGGGGUGCCUGAUUGGAGGGUGGGACCCCAUGGCAAAAGACGGGGUCCCUUCAUCCCCAAGCGGCAAGCCAUCCCCCCUCAUCCCCUCCUGCCCCCCAGUCUCUGGAGAUCUGAGAGGCACCGACUGGGAGGGUGGACCCAUGGGGCCUCCAGCCACUCUGGCCAACCCUUCGACCCUCAAGAACCUCCAUCAGCACCAGGGAGCCUGGGCUCUGGGAACCUCCUCUCUGCCCCAGCAGCUUCUUCUUUGUGCCCUUCCCUCCCAUUUCUGCACCCCAAUUUCCAGAGGGCCUGUGGCCAAGGGUGAGAACCCACCGACCCCCAGGGAGAAGCCCUGCAGAGCAGAGACCUCACCCGGAGGAGCCUCCUCAUCCUCUCCUCCAGCUUCCAUCCCCUGGACAUCUUGACACCAUCCUUCAGCAUCUCCUCUCUCACUAUAUCCUGACUGCUUGGACCACCCCCCUCUCCAGCCCCAGUGAACAGCACAUUGUGGAGGGGGCAUUUUGCAAGGUUUGAUCCCCGCCUCCAGAGCUGUCCUAGGGUGGGGGGAAGGUCUGGCAGCCCAGGAAUUAAGUUGCCCCUAGCCCAGCCCUCUGUCUUGUUUUCAGCUUACAGUUGAGAGGAACAGUGGUAGAGGUGACUCCAAGAUAUGUGCAUGGAGGGAUAUAGCUGAGUCUGCGCGGUGGGGUGGGUGUGGAAGGCUGAAAGGAACAGAAUGGCUCACCAGCUCUAAGUUGUCUUUUGUGAAGGGUGGGAGGAGUCUGGAAGGCCUUCUAGCUACUGGCCUCCCUCCUCCUUCCUCCUUGCUUAGCAACUGUUGCCUGGUAAAUAUUUGCCCCACCAGGAUCUGGGGCUGGAGCGCUGGCGUCAGCCCGGGAAGCUGCCCCUCUCCUCAAUUCCUGGGCUUCCCCUCUGCCCAGCUCUCCACUCCCCAGCACCCUGGCCUGGGCUCCAGAUGUGAUCCCCGCCCCACCCUCACCUCAAAGCUCAGUUCUUUUUCCCUCAAGGUAGACUUCCUCCCCAACCUCCUCCCUCUACCCUCUCUUCUCUCUCCCUUCAUCCCCAGUUACCCUCUGUGCUAAACUGUCUCCGGUCCAUCCUCUACUCUAGUUCACUCAGUUACCUGAGUGAGGCCCAACCUUUAAUCUAGACAAGCCUCUCCCCCACCACAUCCUACUGGGAGCCCAGACUGGCUAUCGCUUCUGGUACAUCACUGGUGCUCACUGAGCUCCAAGACUGCACCCCUCUGCUCCAACAGAAAACACACCCCCACCCCUAAGCCUUAGCUGAGUGCCCCGAAGCUCCAGGCAGAGGGAGGCGAGGGCAUGUGGGAUGUUUUGAUGGACACCCAGUCUGUUGUCCGUUCCCAGGCUAGGAAGCUCUGCUUCAGGAAGCCAGCACCAUUUUCACCUCCUCUGGGGGCAGGAUUGAGGGGACCAUGGCCAAGAGGAAACAGAUGCCCCUUCGGCCUCUCCCUGGGCAGCCUGACAGCAGACCAGCCUCAGACUGUGUAUCCUGUCCCUCCCAGCCAGGCGCCUCCCCUCCUCCAGUGGU